rnacentral:rRNA from 1 species
UGAGGAAUAUUCGGCAAUGGGGGCAACCCUGACCGAGCAACGCCGCGUGGAGGAAGACGGUUUUUGGAUUGUAAACUCCUUUUCGGUGGGAAGAGCAAGGACGGUACCACCGGAAUAAGUCACGGCUAACUACGUGCCAGCAGCCGCGGUAAUACGUAGGUGGCAAGCGUUAUCCGGAAUUAUUGGGCGUAAAGCGCACGCAGGUGGCGGGCUAAGUCUGACGUGAAAGCUCCUGGCUUAACUGGGAGAG